rnacentral:rRNA from 1 species
CCGGCCGUAAACAAUGCUCGCUAGGUGUCGGGUAUGGCGUGACCGUAUCCGGUGCCGUAGGGAAGCCGUGAAGCGAGCCACCUGGGAAGUACGGCCGCAAGGCUGAAACUUAAAGGAAUUGGCGGGGGAGCACAACAACGGGUGGAGCCUGCGGUUUAAUUGGACUCAACGCCGGAAAACUCACCAGGGGAGACAGCAAUAUGUAGGUCAAGCUGAAGACUUUACCUGAAUCGCUGAGAGGAGG